rnacentral:rRNA from 1 species
UGUCGAGCGAAUGGAUUGUCGGCGUCNGUAACACGUGGGUAACCUGCCCAUAAGACUGGGAUAACUCCGGGAAACCGGGGCUAAUACCGGAUAAUAUUUGAACUGCAUGGUUCGAAAUUGAAAGGCGGCUUCGGCUGUCACUUAUGGAUGGACCCGCGUCGCAUUAGGCCUAGUUGGUGAGGGUAAACGGGCUUCACCCAAAGGGGCAACCGAAUGCCGGUUAGGCCCGGACCCUUGAAGAAGGGGUUGGAAUCGGGACCACCACUUGGGGGAACUUGAGGAACCACGGGCCCAAGAACUUCCUAACCGGGGAAGGC